rnacentral:rRNA from 1 species
UACGUAGGGGGCGAGCGUUAUCCGGAGUUACUGGGCGUAAAGGGCACGCAGGCGGUCGUGCAAGUUUGGGGUUACAGCUCCCGGCUUAACUGGGAGAGCGCCUUGAAGACUGCGCGACUGGAGGGCCACAGAGGGACACAGAAUUCCGGGUGGAGUGGUGAAAUGCGUAGAUAUCCGGAGGAAUACCAAAGGCGAAGGCAGUGUCCUGGGUGGUACCUGACGCUCAGGUGCGAAAGCUAGGGGAG